AACGAACGCUGGCGGCAUGCCUAACACAUGCAAGUCGAACGAGACCUUCGGGUCUAGUGGCGCACGGGUGCGUAACGCGUGGGAACCUGCCCUUAGGUUCGGAAUAACUCCCCGAAAGGGGUGCUAAUACCGGAUAAUGUCUUCGGACCAAAGAUUUAUCGCCCUUGGAUGGGCCCGCGUUGGAUUAGCUAGUUGGUAGGGUAAAAGCCUACCAAGGCGACGAUCCAUAGCUGGUCUGAGAGGAUGAUCAGCCACACUGGGACUGAGACACGGCCCAGACUCCUACGGGAGGCAGCAGUGGGGAAUAUUGGAAAAUGGGCGAAAGCCUGAUCCAGCAAUGCCGCGUGAGUGAUGAAGGCCUUAGGGUUGUAAAGCUCUUUUACCCGGGAUGAUAAUGACAGUACCGGGAGAAUAAGCUCCGGCUAACUCCGUG
rnacentral:rRNA from 1 species